UCAGCUUAGUGUUACACCUGACACGUGCGAGCUGACACGAAUUGCCCUGUAACGUAGUCUAAAAAUCGUGUGCCCUUCUCUGUGAUUGGAUUGUAGUUCCAAACUUUCUGCAUUUCUUUUUAUUUUUUCUGGGCGAACAAACACUUUUAAAACUCGAGAAGACGACUCUGUGUGUGUGAAAAACGGGGGAUUCAUCGUCAACUCAUUCACACAGGGGAACAUUUUUUUCAAGAACUUGAAUAAAUAAAAAUUCUACACCAGAAAGCUUGGAGGAUCAAAGUGGCCUAUACUGUCAGCAGUCCAACAAAUUUAAAUUGACAAGGACCAGUUUGACCGUAUACAUCUAGAAAGGAUAGCAGUGAUGCGAACUUUGAAAUUAUCUUAAGGUGCUGGUAGAAUCUUUUCACUGCUUGUUCUUCAUUAGAGAAUGAAUCUUCUUGUUCAUGCAUUUUGAAUGAGUUAAUUGAGAACAUCUUUAUUACGGGAACUUGCAUUAUCGAUAUAAAUAGUUCUUAUUCAUGCAUAUUGAAUAAAAUAUCAGUUGUCAUUGUACAUAUUAGGUUUUAUUAAGUCAUGACUAUGACUCUUUGUUCAGUAGCUACCUGUAUGUGAUGACAAUUUAUCGAAGCCUUAAUCGAUUUUCUGUUUUCGUGCAACAUGGAGAUAAAGAUCAAGAGGAAAAGAAAUUCCUGGGGGUUCAAGAUGGUGACAUGGUUGGCGCGAAUGGUAAAUAUUUAUGCCGCAGUGUUAAUGGUGACACGUCUCAACUUCUUCCCCAUUUUUUUUUUUA